AGUGCGAGCAGCUGAAAAAUUCGUAAUUUAUAAUCACUACGAAUGUCUAAGGACAUAUUUACAGUAAUUAUUUAAUUCCAGGGACCUUUAAACUUUUCUAAAAUAAAGCAUGUCUCGUGGUGGAUUACGGUCAAUGACAGAAUAUUUGGAAAUCGCCGAAUAUAAUUAUUCAUGGCCUGGAGAAAAUGGUACUUUUCAAGAAUUCGGAUCUGUUAAUUACACAAUGCCUUCAGGACCAUGGUAUUGGCCCUGGUGUCCGCUUUGGAGAGUUCCACAGCAUCCUUUAUUUCAGCUAUCCAAUGUAUUGUUUGUGGCUUCAUACUGCGCCCCAAGUACAAAAAAAGGCCAACUCUGGAUGCAUACAAUUUUAAUUUUCGGUUUCAUGCUGUAUUCAAUAUGGGCAUGGCAUGUAAUUUGUUCACCGGAUGCAUUUUCCUGGAACUUUGGAUUUGUGUUCCUGAAUCUGGCCCAAGUCGUUUAUUUGGUGUACGAGAUGCGACCGGUAAAAUUUGAUCCGGAGCUUGAAGAAGUGUAUCAUACACUUUUUGAACCUUUUAGAGUAUCGAGACUGCAGUUUAAACGGAUGGUGUCACCGGACUUUGCUCACAUUAUGUCGCUCCACGCCGGUGAAGCUUAUGCUUUGCAAAACUUAACUAAGACUGAUCGUUUAGGACUUUUACUGUCUGGAAAGGUAAACGUUAUGAGUGGUCACCAAUUUCUACAUCCAAUUCUGCCCUGUGAGUUUUUGGACUCACCCGAGUUUGAGUCCAGUAGAGCCACAGUUGACGAAAAGUUUAAGGUAUCAAUAGUAGCUGCAUCAUCCUGCCGCUACGUGUACUGGCAAAGGAGUUCCCUCGAGUAUCUGUUCGUGAAAGAGCCUUAUCUUGCUUGCGUGAUCACUACACUAAUAGCCCGCGACAUCACCACCAAGCUGUAUGCGAUGAACAACAAAAUAGUAACAGAGAGGGGAUCCCAUUUAGAUAUAAGAUUACCAAGCAUCUCCCACGCUCUAGCUCGGAGUCCUAGAAGACUACGGUCUGCUUGCAAGCCACCACCGCCCACAACCGUGCAGCCUGUGCCACCUGAGAAAAGACCCAAUUGUUGGAGUCGUGAAGCUGAUUCCCUGAUUAACACAAUAAAACGCAAUGGCGUUACCACCCCUACAUACGGGAUAGGAGACGAAGAACUAAUGCCCCUAGCAGCGCAUGAGGCUCCAGCAGCUUCGUCGGACGACCUGUCUAUAGCCGACAGCUGUCCCGAUACUUCCUCCAAAUACCACAGCUGUGAAGCCGUGGAGACUGAUGAUGAACUUAGACACUAAAUUCUUAAUUAGAAUAAUAGUUUUCAAUUCUAGUCGCAGCAGAAUUAGUUAUAUUGUUUUCUAAAUAUCAGUAGUUACUAUACAGCGUUGUAGUAUGGUACGAGUGACAGUUGAUAUUUUGGGAUUUUUUUACGGUGUAAGAAUUGCAUUGAAUGAGAUUUGUGAAGGUUCUUUAAUAAUAUCAUGAAUACACUAGAACGAACAUUCAGACUAUAUCGAGGUCAAAUCAGUGGAUUAUGUUGGGCCAUAUUAUGUGGUGUUAUAUUUAUUUCAUGAAGCUAUUAACUGUUUAUUCAAACUUAUUCUAAUCUGGGAUUAGUACCCAGUUUUGAUACGCACACAGUAUUUGCGUAUUAUACUUGAAAUUUAUGUCAGAGAAAGAGAGACGAAGAGUAAAUUUAUUAAAGGACUAUUCACAUGCCUGCCUUCAUAAUCGUAAUACAUUUUAGAGUACCAAAGAAUACCAGAUUUGAUACACGUAAUAUGUAUUGGUAUAAGUACGUACAAUGGUUAAAAUAAACUGUUAUAUACCAUAUACAAAUCGUGAAUGGUAUAACUAUCAAUUAUGUUUUCAACAUAUGUAUAUAAAGACUGAUAUAUUGAUGACCUGAUCGUUGUACCAAGAAUAUGUUGAUAUAUCGACGAACGCGAUGAAUAUGAAAGGAUUUGAAUGUUUACGCUGUCAAGUAUAACGUGGAAGAACAUGGAUAGGUAUUAUACAUAUUGAACAGAGCAUAUUUUAAUAUUAAGCACAAGGAAUACAUAUUAACUAACUCGUAAAAACAACACGUUUAACUGAAAGAACCAUACGUAAGUUUUAGAUGACGAUAGUCUAUAUUUAUAAAACCAGGUUUCAAUUAUUUCUGAGAAAAUAGUAUUUGUUAUAUAUAUUUGUUAAAAUAAAAAUAAAUUCUUAACAACAUGUUAUUUUCAACAUACUUUUAUUUGAAAUGUGCGUUAACGCAAAUGUAUGCGAUUUAUUUAUUGAAUACAUCUAGAGUACUUUAUGUAUAUUGGUUUAUCUUCUAGGAUCCGUCGCUCUAUAAUAAAAAUAUAUAUUUAUGUCAAGGUAUGUAAUUCACUAUAAGGCUCAUUGUAACUACAAAAUUAUUGAAUAUUGUAUCUUAUUUCUAUAAACAUAUGGUCGAAUAAACUGAUUGCAUGAUUAUGAUGUAAAAAGGAAUGCCCACUGCUUUUUCCAGUACAUUAUUAAUGAUAGCUUUGAGGUGGUCAUGGAUGUGGCACUAUUGCCGAUUGAGUGCUUUUUAAUUUGUAUUUACUUAUUCUAGGGUUGCCAUCUAUGAAAUCGGAAAAUAUGUAACCAUGUUUUAUAUAUAAAAUAGCGUUAACAAAUAUACUGUACCUAGGUGUGGUGGUAAGAAGUUAUCGUGGCCUUUGAAAACUAGCAACACCAGGGGUAUCACUUACAUGCCUCAAAGUACAAAUUAUAAUACUAACUCAACGUAUCUACGUCAGCAAAAAUAUCAAAUAAUUGUACAAUAGUUAUGUACGUUGUAGAGUAUUAAUUCCCGAAGUGUAUCCAUACUACAGGUUUUUAUUGGUCGAGAGAGUUCAUGUGAUAUUUGUAUUUAUAUGAUAUUAGAGUAACCAAAAAACUUAUGUACAUCAGUUUCUAUUAAAAAUAUUUAUUGUUUUUAAUAAUUUGGUGACUGCCUUUGUAUAAAGUUGUAGCGCUGUCCUCUAGUCUUCCAAAACUAGGGCAAAUUGUAACAAACUCGAAACUUAUGACCCUAAACUGGACAAUGUAAUCAAUCAACUUCUUUCCAUUUUGUUGUGUCGAGUGAAAUACUACGAAUACUUAUAGAAUCAUUCCUAUGCAGUAUAUCAAAUAACACGAUAUUAUCACUUUACUAAAUAUUACUUUUGAAUAUAGAAUUACAGUUUUUAAAGCCUUCCUAAACUAGGUACAACUUUGUUAUCCAUGUUUUAGUAGCGAUUGGUAGGCCGUUUGUUCUUUUUUUUUUAAUCAGAUAUAUUUAUUUUCGGUAAAAAAACUGAGAUAUCUAAAACCAUACCAAAGGUGGCUUUAAA